GGUGAUUUGAAGACUCCAGAAAUCUGAUGAAUAUCAGUUAGGUGGCUGCUGACUGAUGCAGUAGUGAUGUCUCCUGUCCAUAGCUGUCAACAUUUGGAUGUUGGGCCAGACCAGCCGAUUUGAAGACAAAAGAACAAGAUACAGAAUCCACAGGUGUCCUGAUGUUCCUAUCCUAACUGGGAGAUGAUGGGUGACUUCUGUACAAACCAGACCAGUUGACUUGAAGAUAUGGUGAAGAGAAGAGUU